UACGUAGGGGCCAAGCGUUUGUCCGGAUUUAUUGGGCGUAAAGAGCUCGUAGGCGGUUGGGUAAGUCGGGUGUGAAAACUCCAGGCUCAACUUGGAGACGCCACCCGAUACUGCUCUGACUUGAGUUCGGUAGGGGAGUGGGGAAGUUCCUGGUGUAGCGGUGAAAUGCGCAGAUAUCAGGAGGAACACCGGUGGCGAAGGCGGAUCUCUGGGCCUUACCUGACGCUGAGGCGCGAAAGCUAGGGGAGCAAACAGG
rnacentral:rRNA from 1 species